rnacentral:tRNA from 3 species
GCGGGGAUAGCUCAGUUGGGAGAGCGUUAGACUGAAGAUCUAAAGGUCGCCGGUUCGAUCCCGGCUCACCGCA